rnacentral:rRNA from 1 species
GACGAACGCUGGCGGCGUGCUUAACACAUGCAAGUCGAACGGUGAAGCGCCUUCCUUUUUGGUGGGUGUGGAUGAGUGGCGAACGGGUGAGUAACACGUGAGUAACCUGCCCCCUUCUUCUGGAUAACCGCAUGAAAGUGUUGCUAAUACGGGAUAUUCUGGGUCUGACGCAUGAUGGGUCUGGGAAAGAUAUUGUUUCGGUGGGGGAUGGGCUCGCGGCGUAUCAGCUUGUUGGUGAGGUGAGGGCCUACCAAGGCGGAGAUGGGUAGCCGGCCUGAGAGGGUGAACGGCCACAAGGGAAGUGAGACACGGCCCAGACGACUACGGGAGGCAGCAGGAGGGAAUCUGCCGCAAGGGGCGAAAGCCGGACGGAGCACCGCCGCGUGAGUGAGGAAGGUCUUCGGAGCGUAAAACGCGGUUAUUAGGGAAGAACAUAGGUGUAAGUAAGUGUGCACAGCUUGACGGUACCUAAGCAGAAAGCCACGGCUAACUACGUG